rnacentral:lncRNA from 1 species
GCAUUGAGCAGCUGUGUGGCGUUAGAUAAGUCACCUAUAGCCUAAACAGCAGCAGUAAUGGCAAGGAAUAGUAACAUCAUUUGCAGAUUUCAUUUGUGUUUUUGCCCCAUUUACAUUCAUUGAGCACCUAUUAUGUACCAAGUGCUCUUCUGGGCACGUGGGAAAUGGCAGAGAGCAAGAAGGGCAGAAACCCUUGCUCUUGGGGAGCUUACAUUCAUUUCAUGUAUGUUACCUCUAAUCUCGAUCACUGUGUUCAAUGAGUGUUAUUUUAGCCCCGUUUUACAGAUGGGGAAACUGAGGCACAGAGCAGUCAAGUCCUUUGCCCGAAGUCACACAGCUAGUGAAAGUCCAUGCCUGGAUUCCAGCCCUAGUCUGUGUGACCCCAGAUGAUGUGUGUCAUCUAUCCCCUUGGGUCUUUGCUAUCAAAUGUCAACAGGGACCCCAGCCAUGCCCACCUCGCUGGCACAGUGAGAUGGUGAAGGGUUCCAAAUGACAAAUUGUAAAAGCACAAGGCUGCCCCAAGUCCUGAUGUUCUCUUCUCUGUGAGAGACUUCUAACUCUGCAAGCUCGUGAUAGGCCGAGGCUGAGACCGUGGGGCCCAGCUGUCCUCGACACUGCCAGCUGCUUUAGUAGCUUUGGCCUGUUUUUCCCUCUUCGUACCAGGUGCCCUUUGUGCCUGCCCAUCCCGCAGAGCCUUGUCCUACAGGGGACCGUCAUGGCUGACAGGCGACACCAGCGCUAUUCCCUGGAGGCAAGGGUUGUCCUGAACAGCCAAGAAGAAACCCUGCAGACUGUGGUCCUGGGCUGCCAGGCCAGACAACCCUAUGUGAGUGGGUCUGGGCACAGCUGGGAAGGGGUCUGAGAGCUGGAAGGAGGCCCCAGCUGCCUCCUGACCUCCCUGCAUGCGUGUGUACAUGCAUGUGGUUGUCCCUCCCAGGUCUGUACACGUCUGAUGCAUCCAUAUGAUGGCAAAGCCAUCCCCAGGAACACAGAGGGGUGCCUGGUUACUUGGAAUCGGCACAAGGUCUCGGUCCAGCUGAACAGAUCUGACUCCGACUUUGCAUUUUUCUUCCAACUCGGACAUCCCCACAGACCAACAUUUUCUCCAAACUUCCAGGAGCAGGCAGCUGCCGGGCACUACAGAGUGCACAGCCUCAACGGGUCCCUAUCUGUGCAAAUGUCUGGCCAGGAGCUGGUUCUGCUGGAGGUCGACGCCAGCCAGGACGCUUGAAGGAGCAGCUGGGGCUGGGGCGUGAGUGUCCUUCUCCACCAGGCUGUCCUCAGUGUCCCCGGGGCUGUUCGUCUUCAGCUGUCUGGAAAGAUCAGCCCAGCAAGGUAACAGUCCCCAAGUGGCCUGUGACAAGGCAGGGAGACCACAGAGCAAAAGGCGCGUGUCCCGGGCAUGGGAAACCCUCACUCAGAGGCCCCUCUCUGUCCCGCUGAGGCCACACCCAAAUCAG